rnacentral:tRNA from 1 species
AGUUUUAAAAGUAUAACUUAUUUUUGGUUUACAAGACCAAUGUUUUAUAAUAAACUAUUAAAACAUUA